UGGGGUAUCGCCAAGCGGUAAGGCACCGGUUUUUGAUUCCGGCAUUCCCUGGUUCGAAUCCACGUACCCCAGCCA
rnacentral:tRNA from 1 species